rnacentral:rRNA from 1 species
UACGUAGGGUGCGAGCGUUGUCCGGAAUUAUUGGGCGUAAAGAGCUCGUAGGCGGUUUGUUGCGUCGGCCGUGAAAACCUGCAGCUUAACUGUGGGCCUGCGGCCGAUACGGGCAGACUUGAGUUCGGUAGGGGAGACUGGAAUUCCUGGUGUAGCGGUGAAAUGCGUAGAUAUCUGGAGGAACACCGGUGGCGAAGGCGGCAUCCUGGACCGACACUGACGCUGAGGAGCGAAAGCCAGGGGAGCAAACGGG